UACGUAGGCAGCGAGCGUUGUUCGGAGUUACUGGGCGUAAAGAGUGCGUAGGCAGUUUUCUAAGUCGGGGGUGAAAUCCUGGAGCUCAACUCCAGAAUUGCCUUCGAUACUGGCUUUCUAGAGGCUGGAAGAGGUUAGUGGAAUUCCCAGUGUAGAGGUGAAAUUCGUAGAUAUUGGGAAGAACACCAGUGGCGAAGGCGGCUAACUGGUCCAGAUCUGACGCUGAGGUGCGAAAGCGUGGGGAGCAAACAGG
rnacentral:rRNA from 1 species